CUGUGGAGGAGCCUGCGUUCGAUUAGCUUGUUGGUGGGGUAAAGGCCUACCAAGGCGAUGAUCGAUAGCUGGUCUGAGAGGAUGAUCAGCCACACUGGGACUGAGACACGGCCCAGACUCCUACGGGAGGCAGCAGUGGGGAAUAUUGGACAAUGGGGGCAACCCUGAUCCAGCAAUGCCGCGUGUGUGAAGAAGGUUUUCGGAUUGUAAAGCACUUUCGGCGGGGACGAUGAUGACGGUACCCGCAGAAGAAGCCCCGGCUAACUUCGUGCCAGCAGCCGCGGUAAUACGAAGGGGGCUAGCGUUGCUCGGAAUGACUGGGCGUAAAGGGCGUGUAGGCGGUUUGGACAGUCAGAUGUGAAAUCCCCGGGCUUAACCUGGGAGCUGCAUUUGAUACGUCCAGACUAGAGNGUGAGAGAGGGUUGUGGAAUUCUCAGUGUAGAGGUGAAAUUCGUAGAUAUUGGGAAGAACACCGGUGGC
rnacentral:rRNA from 1 species